rnacentral:rRNA from 1 species
UACGUAGGGUGCGAGCGUUGUCCGGAAUUAUUGGGCGUAAAGGGUGCGUAGGUGGCCUGACAAGUUAUGAGUGGCAAAUCGAGGCUCAACCUCGCGGAAGCUGGUAAUACUGUCCGGCUUGAGUGCAGAAGAGGUUAACGGAACUCUAUGUGGAGCGGUAAAAUGCACAGAUAUAUAGAAGAACAUCAAUAAAGGCGAAGGCAGUUAACUAUUCUGUUACUGACACUGAGGCACGAAAGCGUGGGGAGCAAAACGG